GACCAGGAACUUUUUCUCAUAAUUGAACAGAAUUUGUGUGCUUCUAGUCACUCAUUUGUUAAUUUAUAAUGAAUUAUUACGGAACAUGUCAGGCAUGAUACUUGGCAAAAUAAAUACUACAACCAAUGUUGGGAGGCCGAGGUGGAUGGAUCAUGAGGUCAGGAGAUUGAGACCAUCCUGGCUAACACAGUGAAACCCUGUCUCUACUAAAAAUACAAAAAAAUUAGCCAGGCGUGGUGGCAUGCACCUGUAUCAGCACCUGCGUUCCCAUCUCAGCCCUCCCAUUUAUUAUUAAUAGUUGGGAGACUUUGGACAACUGGAUACUCUUUCCUGAAUCUUAGU
rnacentral:lncRNA from 1 species